rnacentral:rRNA from 1 species
UAAGUAGGUAGUGAAAGCGUGUGGCUCAACCAUACUCACAUUAUCUAAACUGAUUAACUAGAGGAUGAGAGAGGUUAUUGGAAUUUCUUGUGUAGGAGUGAAAUCCGUAGAUAUAAGAAGGAACACCGAUGGCGUAGGCAGAUAACUGGCUCAUACCUGACACUGAGGCACGAAAGCGUGGGGAGCAAACGGGAUUAGAUACCCCGGUAGUCCACGCCGUAAACUAUGGAUGCUA